rnacentral:rRNA from 1 species
AUUGAACGCUGGCGGCAGGCCUAACACAUGCAAGUCGAACGAGUGGCGGACAGGUGAGUAAUGCCCGGGAAACUGCCCGAUGGAGGGGGAGAACUACUGGAAACGGUAGCUAAUACCGCAUACCAUCGGAUGUGCCCAGAUGGGAUUAGCUAGGAGGUGGGGUAAUGGCUCACCUAGGCGACUCUCCAUAGCUGGUCUGAGAGGAUGACCAGCCACACUGAAAUUGAGCAACGGUCCAGACUCCUCCGCGAGGCAGCAGUGGAGGAUAUUGUACAGUGGAAUGGAGCCUGGUGCGACCAUGCCGCGUGUAUGGAGAGGGCCUUCGGGUUGUAAAGUACUUUCAGCGAGAAGGCUUUACUCGCUGAAGAAGCACCGGCUAACUCCGUGCCAGCAGCCGCGGUAAUUC